rnacentral:misc_RNA from 1 species
UUAAGUUCAGCGGGUAUCCCUACCUGAUCCGAGGUCAACCUUAGAAAGAUUCUCCCUGAGGGGAGGCAGACCGUGUCCCGUAAACCCGAUGUCGUCACGUGUCCCGUGAAGAACUCAGUGUACCGGGGGUCCAACGAGGCCGCCGUCAUUGUCUUUGGGAGGGGCAGGAGCCCCCGAGGGGACCUCCACCAAACCGUCCA